AAAAAAGAAAAAAAAAAGAGAAAAGAAAAACAAAAGAGAAAAAUGCACUUGCCGAGACUUAAGACUCUAACAGAUAUAAAAUGCUCGGAAAAUUUGAGUAGAAAAAGAGUCAAAAGAGUGAAAUUAACCCCCAGAGUAUACAUGAUGCACGAAAAAAAAAAGAGAAAGAAAAAUCACACAACAUGACUACCGAGUUCAAAACCCUUUGUUAUCCAAUUUUUUUU
rnacentral:lncRNA from 1 species